rnacentral:rRNA from 1 species
UAAGGUGAUAUGAACCGUUACAACCGGCGAUACCCGAAUGGGGAAACCCAGUGUGUUUCGACACACUAUCAUGUCAUGAAUACAUAGUGGCAUGAGGCGAACCGGGGGAACUGAAACAUCUAAGUACCCCGAGGAAAAGAAAUCAACCGAGAUUCCCCCAGUAGCGGCGAGCGAACGGGGAGGAGCCCAGAACCUGAAUCGGCUUGUGUGUUAGUGGAAGCGUCUGGAAAGUCGCGCAGCAAAGGGUGAUAGCCCCGUACACUAAAAUGCACAGGUCGUGAGUUCGAUGAGUAGGGCGGGACACGUGACAUCCUGUCUGAAUAUGGGGGGACCAUCCUCCAAGGCUAAAUACUCCUGACUGACCGAUAGUGAACCAGUACCGUGAGGGAAAGGCGAAAAGAACCCCGGCGAGGGGAGUGAAAUAGAACCUGAAACCGUGUACGUACAAGCAGUGGGAGCACCUUCGUGGUGUGACUGCGUACCUUUUGUAUAAUGGGUCAGCGACUUAUAUUUUGUAGCAAGGUUAACCGUAUAGGGGAGCCGUAGGGAAACCGAGUCUUAACUGGGCGAUUAGUUGCAAGGUAUAGACCCGAAACCCGGUGAUCUAGCCAUGGGCAGGUUGAAGGUUGGGUAACACUAACUGGAGGACCGAACCGACUAAUGUUGAAAAAUUAGCGGAUGACUUGUGGCUGGGGGUGAAAGGCCAAUCAAACCGGGAGAUAGCUGGUUCUCCCCGAAAGCUAUUUAGGUAGCGCCUCGUGAACUCAUCUUCGGGGGUAGAGCACUGUUUCGGCUAGGGGGCCAUCCCGGCUUACCAAACCGAUGCAAACUCCGAAUACCGAAGAAUGUUAUCACGGGAGACACACGGCGGGUGCUAACGUCCGUCGUGAAGAGGGAAACAACCCAGACCGCCAGCUAAGGUCCCAAAGUCAUGGUUAAGUGGGAAACGAUGUGGGAAGGCAUAGACAGCCAGGAUGUUGGCUUAGAAGCAGCCAUCAUUUAAAGAAAGCGUAAUAGCUCACUGGUCGAGUCGGCCUGCGCGGAAGAUGUAACGGGGCUAAACCAUGCACCGAAGCUGCGGCAGCGACGCUUAGGCGUUGUUGGGUAGGGGAGCGUUCUGUAAGCCGUUGAAGGUGGCCUGUGAGGGUUGCUGGAGGUAUCAGAAGUGCGAAUGCUGACAUAAGUAACGAUAAAGCGGGUGAAAAGCCCGCUCGCCGGAAGACCAAGGGUUCCUGUCCAACGUUAAUCGGGGCAGGGUGAGUCGACCCCUAAGGCGAGGCUGAAAAGCGUAGUCGAUGGGAAACAGGUUAAUAUUCCUGUACUUGGUGUUACUGCGAAGGGGGGACGGAGAAGGCUAGGCUAGCCGGGCGACGGUUGUCCCGGUUUAAGCGUGUAGGGGGUGUGACCUGGUAAAUCCGGUUGCAUACUAACCCUGAGGCGUGAUGACGAUGCACUACGGUGCAGAAGUAGUUGAUGCCCUGCUUCCAGGAAAAGCCUCUAAGCUCCAGGUAACAUUGAAUCGUACCCCAAACCGACACAGGUGGUCAGGUAGAGAAUACCAAGGCGCUUGAGAGAACUCGGGUGAAGGAACUAGGCAAAAUGGUGCCGUAACUUCGGGAGAAGGCACGCUGGCAUGUAGGUGAAGUCCUUCGCGGAUGGAGCUGAAGCCAGUCGAAGAUACCAGCUGGCUGCAACUGUUUAAUAAAAACACAGCACUGUGCAAACACGAAAGUGGACGUAUACGGUGUGACGCCUGCCCGGUGCUGGAAGGUUAAUUGAUGGGGUCAGCCGCAAGGCGAAGCU